AUAUUGUAUCUCAGAAUGAAAA
rnacentral:miRNA from 15 species